GACGAACGCUGGCGGCGUGCUUAACACAUGCAAGUCGAACGGAAAGGCCCUGCUUGCGUGGGGUGCUCGAGGGGCGAACGGGUGAGUAACACGUGAGUAACCUGCCCUUGACUUUGGGAUAACUUCAGGAAACUGGGGCUAAUACCGGAUAGGAGCUCCUGCUGCAUGGUGGGGGUUGGAAAGUUUCGGCGGUUGGGGAUGGACUCGCGGCUUAUCAGCUUGUUGGUGGGGUAGUGGUUUACCAAGGCAUUGACGGGUAGCCGGCCUGAGAGCGUGACCGGCCACAUUGGGACUGAGAUACGGCCCAGACUCGUACGGGAGGCAGCAGUGGGGAGUAUUGCACAAUGGGCGGAAGCCUGAUGAAGCAACGCCGCGUUCGGGAUGACGUCCUUCGGGUUGUAAACCGCUUUCGCCUGUGACGAAGCGUGAGUGACGGUAAUGGGUGAAGAAGCACCGGCUAACUACGUG
rnacentral:rRNA from 1 species